AACGAACGCUGGCGGCAGGCCUAACACAUGCAAGUCGAACGCCGUAGCAAUACGGAGUGGCAGACGGGUGAGUAACGCGUGGGAACGUACCUUUCGGUUCGGAAUAACCCGGGGAAACUCGGGCUAAUACCGGAUACGUCCGCAAGGAGAAAGAUUUAUCGCCGAUUGAUCGGCCCGCGUCGGAUUAGCUAGUUGGUGAGGUAACGGCCCACCAAGGCGACGAUCCGUAGCUGGUCUGAGAGGAUGAUCAGCCACACUGGGACUGAGACACGGCCCAGACUCCUACGGGAGGCAGCAGUGGGGAAUAUUGGACAAUGGGCGAAAGCCUGAUCCAGCCAUGCCGCGUGAGUGAAGAAGGCCUUAGGGUUGUAAAGCUCUUUCAGCGGGGAAGAUAAUGACGGUACCCGCAGAAGAAGUCCCGGCUAACUUCGUGCCAGCAGCCGCCGUAACAC
rnacentral:rRNA from 1 species